GCUGGGACAGCUUCCCGCCCGGCCUCCCGCUGGUUACAGCACAGUGCUGUGUGUUUACUGGGAGUUACUGGCAGCUGUAUGGGCUGGGAUACACAGUGUGUGACAGACACCACCUGGAGAUACACACAGGUAGGGCUCAUCUGCUGAUACCCAGCAAAUAGACUGUGUGUGUGUGUAUAUAGAUAGAUAGAUAGAUAAUUAACAUGGGAGAGGACUGGGACUAAGCUGGUUUAUUAUCAGGGCUUAUAUUGCCAGGGAUUCAAAGUGAAUGUCAGAAAUCUCCAAGGAUGCUGUAUUAUGUGCAGUUGAGCUAUUUUGGCAUCAACAUUGGAAUUUACUUUGGUUUACUGACAAAUCAAACUAGAAGUGUUUAUUCACUAAACUACGAAUUGUUUUGAGUUUGCAAUAAAAAGAAGGAAGUAAAAGGUUACCAAGGUGCUGCCAUUAGCCGAGUUGGAGAGUCUCUGUAGAUUAGUUACAUUUGAUGAAAUGUUGUUAUUGGGAUUUUAAUUUGACACAAUGUGGAGUUUAGUUAUGGGACAGUAUCAUCGAUAGAUCAUGCCUCUGCAGUGUCACUGCUCAAUUCUCUGCCAUCCAGGACUUUUGUUUCAGUUUAUGCAGAACUACUCACACCUACCUGCAUGUGUAGCUCACCUACCUGUUGUGUAGCUCACACAACCUGCCUACACUUCGUUUAAAGUGUGAUCUAAUGUUUAAACUUCCUUUAUUGCAUAUUCUGUUUAAUAUGGAAUUUCUUAUCUCCUUCUCUGUAAAUGGCAUUCUAGACCCUGCAUAAGACGGGACAUACUAAAAGGAAUGACAGAUUGGAAUGCCCAUAGACUUUAACAAGGCACUGGAAUGCCCAUAGAGAAUAAUGGAAGUGAAAGGAAUGCCCAUAGAGAAUAAUGGAAACAAAAUAUUUCAAUUAGAGACAAAACUAUUACACAUAUGAAAUCCAUAUUUUGCCACAAUACUCUCCAGAUUCAGUGUCAAUUUUUGAAAUUGAAAUUAAGUGGGAUUAUCAUUGUUUUCUAUAGAUUAACAAUGGUGAAUGACUAAAGAGAAUGCCCAUAGACUAUAAUGGGAGGCAACACAUAAACUAAUUUGCAGGUAAAUCUGUGUUGUGUAGCAAAUUCAUCUUUACCACAGGUGUUCCCCAAGUACAGCAGUAGAUUGUAAAAGUAAAAUUAUCUGGGAUUAUAGCUCUUUUCUAUGGAAUGUCAUGUAAAUGAUGCAAUGGAAUGCCCAUAGAGUAUAAUGGAAGUAAUAUGUGACUUGGAAUCUGAACCGUGAAACAUAUCAAGUAAAGCUUUUGCAGGCAUACUCUGCGAGUUCAGUGGCAAUUUUUUUAAAUGAGAUUAAGUGGGAUUAUCAUUGUUUUCUAUAGAAUGACAAUGGUGAAUGACUAAAGAGAAUGCCCAUAGACUAUAAUGGGAGGCAACACAUAAACUAAUUUGCAGGUAAAUCUGUGUUGUGUAGCAAAUUCAUCUUUACCACAGGUGUUCCCCAAGUACAGCAGUAGAUUCUAAAACUAAAAAUAACUGUGAUUAUAGCUCUUUUCUAUGGAAUGACAGGUAAAUGAUGCAAUGGAAUGCCCAUAGAGUAUAAUGGGAAGCAAUAUGUGACUUGGUAUCUGAACCGUAAAACAUAUCAAGUAAAUCUUUUGCAGGCAUACUCUGCGCGUUCAGUGGCAAUUUUUUUAAAUGGAAAUUAAGUGGGAUUAUCAUUGUUUUCUAUAGAAUAACAAUGGUGAAUGACUAAAGAGAAUGCCCAUAGACUAUAAUGGGAUGCAACACAUAAACUAAUUUGCAGGUAAAUCUCUGUUGUGUAGCAAAUUCAUCUUUUCCACAGGUGUUCCCCAAGUACAGCAGUAGAUUGUAAAAUUAAAAGUAACUGGGAUUAAAGCUCUUUUCUAUGGAAUGACAGGUAAAUGAUACAAUGGAAUGCCCAUAGAGUAUAAUGGGAAGCAAUAUGUGACUUGGAAUCUGAACCGUGAAACAUAUCAAGUAAAUCUUUUGCAGGCAUACUCUACGAGUUCAGUGGCAAUUUUUGAAAUUGAGAUUAAGUGGGAUUAUCAUUGUUUUCUAUAGAAUGACAAUGGUGAAUGACUAAAGAGAAUGCCCAUAGACUAUAAUGGAAGGCAACACAUAAACUCAUUUGCAGGUAAAUCUGUGUUGUGUAGCAAAUUCAUCUUUUCCACAGGUGUUCCCCAAGUACAGCAGUAGAUUCUAAAAUUAAAAGUAACUGGGAUUAUAGCUCUUUUCUAUGGAAUGACAGGUAAAUGAUGCAAUGGAAUGCCCAUAGAGUAUAAUGGAAAGCAAUAUGUGACUUGGAAUCUGAACCGUGAAACAUAUCAAGUAAAGCUUUUGCAGGCAUACUCUAUGAGUUCAGUGGCAAUUUUUGAAAUUGAGAUUAAGUGGGAUUAUCAUUGUUUUCUAUAGAAUGACAAUGGUGAAUGACUAAAGGGAAUGCCCAUAGACUAUAAUGGAAGGCAACACAUAAACUAAUUUGCAGGUAAAUCUGUGUUAUGUAGCAAAUUCAUCUUUACCACAUGUGUUCCCCAAGUACAGCAGUAGAUUCUAAAAUUAAAAAUAACUGGGAUUAUAGCUCUUUUCUAUGGAAUGACAGGUAAAUGAUACAAUGGAAUGCCCAUAGAGUAUAAUGGGAAGCAAUAUGUGACUUGGAAUCUGAACCGUGAAACAUAUCAAGUAAAUCUUUUGCAGGCAUACUCUACGAGUUCAGUGGCAAUUUUUGAAAUUGAGUUAAGUGGGAUUAUCAUUGUUUUCUAUAGAAUGACAAUGGUGAAUGACUAAAGAGAAUGCCCAUAGACUAUAAUGGGAGGCAACACAUAAACUCAUUUGCAGGUAAAUCUGUGUUGUGUAGCAAAUUCAUCUUUUCCACAGGUGUUCCCCAAGUACAGCAGUAGAUUGUAAAAUUAAAAGUAACUGGGAUUAUAGCUCUUUUCUAUGGAAUGACAGGUAAAUGAUGCAAUGGAAUGCCCAUAGAGUAUAAUGGCAAGUAAUAUGUGACUUGGAAUCUGAACCGUGAAACAUAUCAAGUAAAUCUUUUGCAGGCAUACUCUACGAGUUCAGUGGCAAUUUUUGAAAUUGAGAUUAAGUGGGAUUAUCAUUGUUUUCUAUAGAAUGACAAUGGUGAAUGACUAAAGAGAAUGCCCAUAGAUUAUAAUGGGAGGCAACACAUAAACUCAUUUGCAGGUAAAUCUGUGUUGUGUAGCAAAUUCAUCUUUACCACAGGUGUUCCCCAAGUACAGCAGUAGAUUGUAAAAUUAUCUGGGAUUAUAGCUCUUUUCUAUGGAAUGACAGGUAAAUGAUGCAAUGGAAUGCCCAUAGAGUAUAAUGGGAAGCAAUAUGUGACUUGGUAUCUGAACCGUAAAACAUAUCAAGUAAAUCUUUUGCAGGCAUACUCUGCGCGUUCAGUGGCAAUUUUUUUAAAUUGAGAUUAAGUGGGAUUAUCAUUGUUUUCUAUAGAAUGACAAUGGUGAAUGAAUUAAGAGAAUGCCCAUAGAGUAUAAUGGGAAGUAGAAUAUAAACUCAUUUGCAGGGAAAUCUGUGUUACAUAGCAAAUUAACCUUUGCCACAGGGGUUCCCCAAGUACAGCAGCAGAUUGUAACGUUAAAAGUAACUGGGAUUAUAGCUCUUUUCUAUGGAAUGACAGGUGAAUGAUACAAUGGAAUGCCCAUCGAGUAUAGUGUAUAUCAACUCUUUUGUAAGGAAAUCUGAAAGACAUAGCAAGUUAAACAUAGCAUCCCUCCUUAGACAACUUAGACUACAGCAUUUAGCCUACAACUACAGCCCCUAACCCUUAAUUGCAGCCCACAUCCCCAUACUACAGACCCUACACCCUACUACAGUCCUUUAGUCCCCACUACAGCCCCCAUACUCUACUUUAACCCAUAACCCCCUACUACAUCCCUGUAACAAACUACCCUUCUUCAUUGGCUUUUGGAGAGGCCUUCUUGACAGCCUCUUGCCCUGUGACUAUGGCCCCUGGGUUGUAUUGCCCUUUAAAAACUCUAUUUGUGCCUAUUGUAUUUUGGAGCACUGUUUCUGCCCCUUUAAAUGGUACUGGUACAGUUCUGCACUUUUGAAGUGGCACUUCGGAUGCAGCUGAAGUGCCGAAGUAGUCGAAGAAGCUGCCAUUCGACAUACGAACACGUGGCGGCGGCCAUUUUAAUUCAGUCGAAAGCGUUCAGCGGUGUCUAGUUGUCGAGUUCAUGGAACUCAAAUCGGAUAUGCGACGGGACGAACACCGCUGAACUUUACCUUCUCCAGACUUCGACGCUUCGACUGGAGUCGAAAACUGUUUGACAAUUCGAACAGCACUUUAACAUUGACUGUUUGCACAAAUGGUUGCCGUUCGUCUAAUUGAACUAAAUCUGACUGUCUGCCAGAGUCUGUGUGUGUGUGUGUGUGUGUGUGUGUGCUGUCUGCCUCUGUGUGGCUGUCUGCCUCUGUGUGUUGUGUGGCAAAAUAUCACAUACAACCAAUACACACAUACACACACAGUUAAUACACCCAAUACAGAUAUCACACAUAGCAUAUAUAUCACACAGUCAUCACACCUAUCACAUACACAGACAACACAAACAUUACAUCAUACAUGGAUGACGGGGGAGGGGGGGCGCUGUGAAGAUUUUUCGCACAGGGCGCCUAAAGGCCUAAGGGUGGCCCUGAAUGUAACACAUGGUUUCAUACUUACCUCUUAGGUGACAUUAUGUAUGUAUUGCCUCAUCUUAGACCAUGUGUAACUACUGUUUUAUUUUUUUCUUACUUAUCUCAUACUGCGAACAGUUGUAAUUUGUAUGUGCAAACUACAAUAAAAUACAAAUUAUAAAAAAAUAAAUAAAUAAAGCCUCAGUUCCUUCUGUUCCUGCUUAACCUUCAAUACAUAGUCUUGUCUCGUUAUUGUAGGGAACUGCUAUACUUUUAUACUCCCCUGAGCUCUAAUCACUUAGCUCUUUUAAGAGCUGUUCCUGAUACGCUCUCCUGGAGGAGAGGUCUUUCCCACACGGUCCUGGAGGACAGAGGUUGAUCCAGGGUGGAAGGAAGACGGUGUGACUCCAGGUAAGUUACGGCGGUUGUGGAGUCUGCGGUGGUUGUGGUUUCCGGUGCGUGGUUAUGGUCCUCGGCGUCAGCUAGGAAGCGUCCGUCAACGGAGGUGCCCAAUCGGGGUACCAGGUGAUCCGUUACAAGCCCCUUACUGUAAAAUUGCAGCCUCCAUACCCUACUACAGCCCCAAACCCCCUACUAAAGCCCCUUUAAUCCAACAACAGCCCCUAACCCAACUACAGCACCGAACCCCUCCACUAAAGCCCCUUAUUCCCACUGAACCCCCAUACCCCAAAGUAGCUCAUAUCCCCCACUACAGCCCUAAGCACCCUACUACAGUCCCAUACCCCCACCCCUACUGCAGCACCUAUCCCACACUACAGUACCUACCCCCAAAUGUAGCCCAGAACCCCUCACUAUAGUCCUUAUCCCCCACUGCAGCCCCUAACUUCCCUACUACAGCCUCUAUCCCUCCAACUAAAACCCCUAUUCUCUUACCACAGUCCCUUUCCCCCACUACAGUCACUCUUAUCCAUUACAGCCUUUUUUUCUCCAACUGCAGCCAUUCCCCAAUUCAGCCCCUGACCCCAUACCACAGCCAUUAUCUCCCCACUAGGCUCCCCCGGGGCAGGCGGCCAGUGGCUUCCUGGGCGGGCGGCGAGGCAGCACUUUCAAUGCAACCCGCAAUGAUGCCGGGAGCCGGAAUAUGACAUCAUAUUCCGGCUCCCGGCAUCACUCUGCGGCGCGCGAGGGAGCUGAGGGGAAAGUGCUCCCUCACUGAAAACUGCACGUCUGGCCGCCUCCCUGCCCAGCAGCCCCACUGGACCUCAGGUGAAAAGUCCACGCAGCUAUCCCAAACGUAGGGAGGCUGGGUGGAUUUAAAUAAAUAAAAAAUAAUAAUAAUAAUUGCGAGUGUGAGAAAAUGUGUGUUAGUGAAUGUGAGUCAGUGAAUGUGUCAGUGAAUGUGAGUGUGUCAGUGAAUGUGUGUGUUUCAGUGAAUGUGUGUGUUUCAAUGAGUGAGUGUGUGUCUGUCAGUCAGUGCGUGCGUCUGUCAGUAUGAGUGUGUGUCUAAGUGUAUGUCUGUCUAUCAGUGUGUCAAAUCAGUGAGUGUGUGUAUGUCAUUUUUUUGUCAGUGUAUAUGAGAGUGUGUGUCUGUCAGUGACUGUGUGAGUCUGUCAGUAAGUGUGCAUCUGUCAGUCAAAGUGCAGCCUUGACAUGAAGGGGUGGGGAAAAUUUUAAUUAGGGGGGGUGCCCGAGCACCGUCCUGCCUAGGGCAGCACAAAACCUAAAUACAUCACUGAUUAGGUAUACAUAUCUGUAUUCUUUACACUACAGUCCUGAUGCACCUUAAUAAAUAGGUCUCUGUGGCAAAACUAGCCACUUGGACUAACUUGGACAAUAUGUGGGAAAAGUUGCCUGUAUCUUUAUUGUGCUGUACUAUGUGCCUGGCUGUAAUUGACUGCCUUCUCUGUAUGUUUCAUUGAUCUGUCAGCUAUCUGCCGAAAGCAGGUAGCCUUACUGUGUUUCGUUUCACGAACAGCGCCUUUGCGAGCUGUUCGUGAACCGAAUUAACUAUCUUUUAAUAGCCCACACACUAAGGGACGUGUGGCGCUUGUUAACCGAUUGCAACAAUGUUGCAAUCGGUAAUUAGUGGCUCUCCUAGGUGGCCGUCGUUCGGGCUACCGGCCACACGGCGGUCAGCCAUCUUGGAUCCUUUGUUCCCCCCCAGCGGUGUUUGGUCGUCGAGUGCAUGGAACUGAAAACGGCUACUCGACGGCGCAAACGGUAUUUUGGGGCAAACUCUAUGGCAAAGUGUAUUUCGUGCGGCGUUCGGUUGUUUUAGCUGGGAUCUGAGCGGGGUUCUCACGAACUGUGCAUUCAGACCCCAGCUAUCUACCGAACGUCCAUUCAUUUAAAUCUGCCAAAUAUUAUUGACGUUAUAGAUUUUAAUGUAACUUGUCGGUUCUGCUGAACAGAGGGAUAAUCCACUUAACGGUACAUUCCAGUGGGAGUGUCCCUCUCGUGCAGCAGUGCCUGAUGGGAGAAAUGCCCUGUACAUUAAGUUUCCCAUGUAGUCCACUCCUGUAAUGCCCCUGUGAUGUGACUCAGGAAACCCCUUGCAUGGGGAAUUGUAUAAAUACUGGAGCAUGUGAUUUAAGACCUCAGUUGACUCCCAACUUCGUCCGGUUACUGGGGGAUUUGGGAUAUUGCCUUACUUUUCAGCGCUUGACUGUGGAUUACUUUCUGUACCAGCGGAAUUCGUGGGAUUUAAUAUUGCCGAUCCGCACUGCUGCACGAGAGGGAUCCUCCCACUGGAAUAUACCGUUAAGUGGAUUAUCCCUCCGUGCAGCAGAACCGGCAAUUACUUUAAAAUGUACAGUUCUUCGACUAUUUGGACUAUUUGCACGAAUGGACGUUCGGUAGAUAGCUGGGGUCUGAGCGCAUCAUUCGUGAGAUUACCGCUCAGAUCCCAGCUAAAACAACCGAACGCCGCACGAAAAACAUAUUCAUUAAAACACACAUUCAAAAGACCGAUUGAAGUAUAGGGAAUAUAAUACCGAACGGCCCGGAACUCCCGAACAGCCUGGAAGUUCAGCACCUCUAAGUGUGUGGGCUAUUACAUGGUGGUUAUUUCGGUUCACGAACGGCCCGCAAAGGUGCCGUUCGUGAAACAAAAUGGAAUACAGCUAUCUGCGUUCGGCAGAUAGCCAAUACAGGAAAUACAAGGUAUUACAGCCAGCAUACAUUAUACUUAUGCACACACAUACCCCACAACCAUACAGGCAACCCUUAAAGGUACAGUCUCUUUAUAUUGUCCAAGUGGCUAGGUUUGCCACACUCACCCUUCCAGACUUGAUGCCCCCUCCUGCUUUAGCGCCGCCCGGAUGAUGGGUCUAUCCAAUGCACAUCAGAGAGGAGUAUUGUGUGCCUGAGGCACAUGCAAUGAUUCUCUAUUGCCGACCAUGACAGCACUGUGCAUGCAUGCGUAACGUCAAGGUAUGUUACAGUAUGAGAAUUGGGAAGUAAGAUUCCUGGCUCUCAUACCCAGAAGGCUUGGAGACAUGUCUUGAGGUCGCUCUUCUAAGCCCUAUAUUUAGACACACACACGCAUAAGGACAUACAGACACUGACAUACAUACACACAGACAUACAUUCAUACUGGCAUACACUGACACUGGCAUACAUACAUACUGACAGACAUAUAUACAUGCAUACAGACACUGAUAUCCAUACACACACACACAUACAUACAUACACACAGACAUACAUUCAUAUUGACAUACAGACAUACAUUGGUACUGGUAUACAUACAUAUAUACAUACUGACAUGCAUGCAUACAGACACUGACAUCCAUACAUACACACAGACAUACAUUCAUACAGACAUACAUUCAUACUCAUGCAUACAUACAUGUAUACAUACUGACAGACCUACAUAUAUACACAUACUGACAGACAUACAUAUAUACAUAAUGACAGACAUACACACUGACACAGACAGCUCAUUUGUCAGCCACCCUCCUGUUUCUUACUGUUUCUUUGCAGGAGGGUGACUGGGGCUGAUGGGAGUCAGCAUGGCUCUCCCUCUUCUAGGCCUCCACGCUGGCUCUCCUCCUGCGCAUAGUGAGCUGGGAGGAAGUGACCGGCCGUCACUUCCUCCGAGCAGCACUUGCGUUACGGCUGCAUUUUUUUAUGCAAGGGGCCCUGUUGCGCUAUAACACGGUCACAGCGCUGACAGUGCCCCUGAAGAUAUAGGGCCCAUCGGGUGGCCCUAAGUGUGUGGGCCACCCGAUGGGCCCCAUUAGCGCGCGGCCCCAAGUGCAACUGCACUGGCGGCAAUUCCGUCGCUGCACAUGGGUCUCGGGCAAUUUCAAAAAUUUACACUGAACCUGGAGAGUAUGCCCGCAAAAGAUUUACUUGAUAUGUUUCAUGGUUCAGAUUCCACAUAUUGCUUCCUAUUAUACUCUAUGGGCAUUCCAUUGUAUCAUUUACCUUUCAUUCCAUAGAAAAGAGCUAUAAUCUCAGUUAUUUUUACUUUUACAAUCUACUGCUGUACUUGGGGAACACCUGUGGAAAAGAUGAAUUUGCUACACAACACAGAUUUACCUGCAAAUGAGUUUAUGUGUUGCCUCCCAUUAUAGUCUAUGGGCAUUCUCUUUAGUCAUUCACCAUUGUCAUUCUAUAGAAAACAAUGAUAAUCCCACUUAAUCUCAAUUUCAAAAAAUUGCCAUUGAACUCGUAGAGUAUGCCUGCAAAAGAUUUACUUGAUAUGUUUUACGGUUCAGAUUCCAAGUCACAUAUUGCUUCCCAUUAUACUCUAUGGGCAUUCCAUUGUAUCAUUUACCUGUCAUUCCAUAGAAAAGAGCUAUAAUCCCAGUUAUUUUUAAUUUUAGAAUCUACUGCUGUAUUUGGGGAACACAUGUGGUAAAGAUAAAUUUGCUACAUAACACAGAUGUACCUGCAAAUUAGUUUAUGUGUUGCCUCCCAUUAUAGUCUAUGGGCAUUCCCUUUAGUCAUUCACCAUUGUCAUUCUAUAGAAAACAAUGAUAAUCCCACUUAAUCUCAAUUUAAUAAAAAUUGCCACUAAACUCGCAGAGUAUGCCUGCAAAAGAUUUACUUGAUAUGUUUUACGGUUCAGAUACCAAGUCACAUAUUGCUUCCCAUUAUACUCUAUGGGCAUUCCAUUGCAUCAUUUACCUGUCAUUCCAUAGAAAAGAGCUAUAAUCCCAGUUAUUUUUAGGUUUAGAAUCUACUGCUGUACUUGGGGAACACCUGUGGAAAAGAUGAAUUUGCUACACAACAGAGAUUUACCUGCAAAUGAGUUUAUGUGUUGCCUCCCAUUAUAGUCUAUGGGCAUUCUCUUUAGUCAUUCACCAUUGUCAUUCUAUAGAACACAAUGAUAAUCCCACUUAAUCUCAAUUUCAAAAAAUUGCCACUGAACUCGUAGAGUAUGCCUGCAAAAGAUUUACUUGAUAUGUUUCACGGUUCAGAUUCCAAGUCACAUAUUGCUUCCCAUUAUACUCUAUGGGCAUUCCAUUGCAUCAUUUACCUGUCAUUCCAUAGAAAAGAGCUAUAAUCCCAGUUACUUUUAAUUUUAGAAUCUACUGCUGUACUUGGGGAACACCUGUGAUAAAGAUGAAUUUGCUACACAACAGAGAUUUACCUGCAAAUUAGUUUAUGUGUUGCCUCCCAUUAUAGUCUAUGGGCAUUCUCUUUAGUCAUUCACCAUUGUCAUUCUAUAGAAAACAAUGAUAAUCCCACUUAAACUCAAUUUCAAAAAUUGCCACUGAACUCGUAGAGUAUGCCUGCAAAAGAUUGACUUGAUAUGUUUCACGGUUCAGAUUCCAAGUCACAUAUUGCUUCCCAUUAUACUCUAUGGGCAUUCCAUUGUAUCAUUUACCUGUCAUUCCAUAGAAAAGAGCUAUAAUCCCAGUUACUUUUAAUUUUACAAUCUACUGCUGUACUUGGGGAACACCUGUGGUAAAGAUGAAUUUGCUACAUAACAGAGAUUUACCUGCAAAUGAGUUUGUGUUGCCUCCCAUUAUAGUCUAUGGGCAUUCUCUUUAGUCAUUCACCAUUGUCAUUCUAUAAAAAACAAUGAUAAUCCCACUUAAUCUCAAUUUAAUAAAAAUUGCCACUAAACUCGCAGAGUAUGCCUGCAAAAGAUUUACUUGAUAUGUUUUACGGUUCAGAUACCAAGUCACAUAUUGCUUCCCAUUAUACUCUAUGGGCAUUCCAUUGCAUCAUUUACCUGUCAUUCUAUAGAAAAGAGCUAUAAUCCCAGAUAAUUUUACUUUUACAAUCUACUGCUGUACUUGGGGAACACCUGUGGUAAAGAUGAAUUUGCUACACAACACAGAUUUACCUGCAAAUUAGUUUAUGUGUUGCCUCCCAUUAUAAUCUAUGGGCAUUCUCUUUAGUCAUUCACCAUUGUCAUUCUAUAGAAAACAAUGAUAAUCCCACUUAAACUCAAUUUCAAAAAUUGCCACUGAACUCGUAGAGUAUGCCUGCAAAAGAUUUACUUGAUAUGUUUCAUGGUUCAGAUUCCAAGUCACAUAUUGCUUCCCAUUAUACUCUAUGGGCAUUUCCAUUGUAUCAUUUACCUGUCAUUCCAUAGAAAAGAGCUAUAAUCCCAGUAAUUUUUAAUUUAAGAAUCUACUGCUGUACUUGGGGAACACCUGUGGUAAAGAUGAAUUUGCUACACAACACAGAUUUACCUGCAAAUGAGUUUAUGUGUUGCCUCCCAUUAUAGUCUAUGGGCAUUCUCUUUAGUCAUUCACCAUUGUCAUUCUAUAGAAAACAAUGAUAAUCCCACUUAAACUCAAUUUAAAAAAUUGCCACUGAACUCGUAGAGUAUGCCUGCAAAAGAUUUACUUGAUAUGUUUCAUGGUUCAGAUUCCAAGUCACAUAUUGCUUCCCAUUAUACUCUAUGGGCAUUCCAUUGUAUCAUUUACCUGUCAUUCCAUAGAAAAGAGCUAUAAUCCCAGUAAUUUUUAAUUUUAGAAUCUACUGCUGUACUUGGGGAACACAUGUGGUAAAGAUAAAUUUGCUACAUAACACAGAUGUACCUGCGAAUUAGUUUAUGUGUUGCCUCCCAUUAUAGUCUAUGGGCAUUCUCUUUAGUCAUUCACCAUUGUCAUUCUAUAGAAAACAAUGAUAAUCCCACUUAAUCUCAAUUUUAAAAAAUUGCCACUGAACUCGCAGAGUAUGCCUGCAAAAGCUUUACUUGAUAUGUUUCAUGGUUCAGAUUCCAAAUCACAUAUUACUUCCAUUAUACUCUAUGGGCAUUCCAUUGCAUCAUUUACAUGACAUUCCAUAGAAAAGAGCUAUAAUCCCAGUUACUUUUAAUUUUACAAUCUACUGCUGUACUUGGGGAACACCUGUGGAAAAGAUAAAUUUGCUACAUAACAGAGAUUUACCUGCAAAUGAGUUUAUGUGUUGCCUCCCAUUAUAGUCUAUGGGCAUUCUCUUUAGUCAUUCACCAUUGUCAUUCUAUAGAAAACAAUGAUAAUCCCACUUAAUUUCAAUUUCAAAAAUUGACACCGAAUCUGGAGAGUAUUGUGGCAAAAUAUGGAUUUCAUAUGUGUAAUAGUUUUGUCUCUAAUUGAAAUAUUUUGUUUCCAUUAUUCUCUAUGGGCAUUCCUUUCACUUCCAUUAUUCUCUAUGGGCAUUCCACUGCCUUGUUAAAGUCUAUGGGCAUUCCAAUCUGUCAUUCCUUUUAGUAUGUCCCCAUAAGACUCAUGUUUGUGAUUAACCAAUAUAUAUAUAUAUUGUAUUUUCCUGUUUAUGAAAACGCAAAAUAAAGGUUGUCAAAAAAAAACAACAAAAAAAACAAUAUAUAUAUAUAUAUAUAUAUAUAUAUAUAUAUAUAUAUAUAUAUAUAUAUAUACAUACACUAAAACAAGUUACCAUCUGAUUGAAAAUGGAACAAUUUUGCAUUCAGGCUGUGUCAGCCACAUUCAGGGGAGGUGUGACUAGGGCUGCAUGGACAGAAACAAAUGUGAUAUAACUUCUAAAUGGCAGAGAACUGAGCAGUGAAACUGCAGGGGCAUAUUACAGCCGUUUACUUAAUAACUCCCCAAAUUGGCAUUCUUGUUUGAUACCAAAUUAAGGAGCUGUUUAGUAGAUAACUCAUUUUUUGUAUCCUUAUGGCAAUCCCUCAAGGAUUAAGGAGAAUCUAAGAAUCUGAAAGACCAUUUCUUUUCUUAAUUGUGGUCUUUCAGACAACUUUACUGAUACUCUAAAUGGUUAAAUCCUCCCUCCUGACCCUACCUGCCUUCUCACAAGUAGUGGCAUGUCUACUUAACAGCAGGCAGCCAGUGGCUGCACGCUGUUAUAAAAAAAAGACAAGUGGCUAAUAGAAUAAUAAACUAGUGUCACCCCUUUCCCAACGAGUGGGGGCUGUUAAACUAAAGAGGGAGGACCUGGUGUCCCCCUCCAGUCCCUGGAUGGGCGCUAUUUAAAAUAAAUUUUAAAAAAAAGCCGAUAGCUCCCACCUUGUAGCUAGAACGAAUGCACUGACAAAAUUUAGUCCAAAAAGCAAUUAAUUUUUCGUUUAAUUUAUUUGUUCAUUUGUCUUUUGGACAAAUGGACAAAAAGCCCAAGUCAGUAGGAAUGACACAAGAAGAUCUCGUGAGACAACAGAGGAAGGACAGGACAGAGAGGUUGAGUGAUGUGGGAAAGUUUUCUGUAAAAAAGGAAGUGGAGCUUGUUUAAGUUCUACCCUUCUGUCAUAUUUGUCAAGAGUAGAAAACUGAAUUAGACAAAGUAAUCCCUACUUUGUCAUGUAUUUUUUAAAGAGAAUUCCGAUAUUAAGAAAAUAAGAACAGAUUGUGGAAGAUGAGAGGAAACAUUAGGAGAAAGGUUAGUUUUAGGUGACAGAGCCACUUUAAUUAGUAACAUUUGCUGAAUAUGUGAAAAUGUGGUUGGAAUUUAAAAAACUAAAAAACUAAAAAGAACACCAGUGUAAAUAUCUAGUGCCUAUAGUAACUCAUAGUGUGUUUUACUUCUACAGGUUUCAAUGACAAUGAGAGAUUACUGUUAUGUGUAAAUCUAUGUCCUAAAAUUAGAAUACUCUCUUAAAGCAAAAUGUCUCUGUCUCCUGAGAAAGCAACUGAGCUGAAACAAAUCAUCCACGAGCAACUGACCCGG